rnacentral:rRNA from 1 species
AACGAACGCUGGCGGCAUGCCUAACACAUGCAAGUCGAACGAGACCUUCGGGUCUGGUGGCGCACGGGUGCGUAACGCGUGGGAACCUGCCCUUAGGUUCGGAAUAACUCCCCGAAAGGGGUGCUAAUACCGGAUAAUGUCUUCGGACCAAAGAUUUAUCGCCUUUGGAUGGGCCCGCGUUUGAUUAGCUAGUUGGUAGGGUAAAAGCCUACCAAGGCGACGGUCCAUAGCUGGUCUGAGAGGAUGAUCAGCCACACUGGGACUGAGACACGGCCCAGACUCCGACGGGAGGCAGCAGUGGGGAAUAUUGGACAAUGGGCGAAAGCCUGAUGCAGCAAUGCCGCGUGAGUGAUGAAGGCCGUAGGGUUGUAAAGCUCUUUUACCCGGGAUGAUAAUGACAGUACCGGGAGAAUAAGCGCCGGCUAACUCCGUG